CUCCGGAAGGGUUCAUUCCGAGUUCGGGCCGGCUUUGGGGCCA
rnacentral:rRNA from 1 species